rnacentral:rRNA from 1 species
CAGCAGCCGCGGUAAUACGGAGGGUGCGAGCGUUAAUCGGAAUUACUGGGCAUAAAGCGUACGCAGGCGGUUUGUUAAGUCAGAUGUGAAAUCCCCGAGCUUAACUCGGGAACUGCAUUUGAAACUGGCAGGCUAGAGUCUCGUAGAGGGGGGUAGAAUUCCAGGUGUAGCGGUGAAAUGCGUAGAGAUCUGGAGGAAUACCGGUGGCGAAGGCGGCCCCCUGGACGAAGACUGACGCUCAGGUACGAAAGCGUGGGGAGCAAACAGGAUUAGAUACCCGCGUAGUCCCUGUCUCUUAUAC